rnacentral:rRNA from 1 species
AUUGAACGCUGGCGGAAUGCUUUACACAUGCAAGUCGAACGGCAGCACGGGUGCUUGCACCUGGUGGCGAGUGGCGAACGGGUGAGGAAUAUAUCGGAACGUAUCCAAUAAUGGGGGAUAACUAACCGAAAGGUUAGCUAAUACCGCAUACGCCCUACGGGGGAAAGCAGGGGAUCUUCGGACCUUGCGUUAAUGGAGCGGCUGAUAUCUGAUUAGCUAGUAGGUGAGGUAAAGGCUCACCUAGGCGACGAUCAGUAGCUGGUCUGAGAGGACGACCAGCCACACUGGAACUGAGACGCGGUCCAGACUCCUACGGGAGGCAGCAGUGGGGAAUUUUGGACAAUGGGCGCAAGCCUGAUCCAGCCAUUCCGCGUGCAGGAUGAAGGCCCUCGGGUUGUAAACUGCUUUUGUACAGAACGAAAAGGUUUCUACUAAUACUAGGAGCUCAUGACGGUACUGUAAGAAUAAGCACCGGCUAACUACGUG